UAAAAUUUUUCAAAUUGAGCGGGCUUUAGUGCAAAUAAGAACAAUUGGUGGACUGGUUGAUAAAAGACUAGAUUUCAACGGUAAUCCGAUCACAUUGGAACUAUAAAGUUUCUUAGUGGGAGACGUGAUGAUUAUGGACAUGUACACUUGGCUGUUGAAUUUGAGAUCAGUGAAGGAAAUGCGUGAGUAGUAUAUAAGGGAGAGACAUUAUCCUCUGGGGUGGUUAUCUCAUCUUUCUGUUCUUUCUUCAUCUUCUCCACUAGUCUGGUUGAAAGAGAGAAAGAUUAAGGAGCGG
rnacentral:lncRNA from 1 species